rnacentral:rRNA from 1 species
UACAGAGGGGGCAAGCGUUGUUCGGAAUUACUGGGCGUAAAGCGCGUGUAGGCGGCCCGGUAAGUCCGCUGUGAAAGUCGGGGGCUCAACCCUCGGAUGCCGGUGGAUACUGUCGUGCUAGAGUGCGGAAGGGGCUACUGGAAUUCUCGGUGUAGCGGUGAAAUGCGUAGAUAUCGAGAGGAACACCUGCGGCGAAGGCGGGUAGCUGGGCCGACACUGACGCUGAAGCGCGAAAGCCAGGGAGCGAACGGG